rnacentral:lncRNA from 1 species
CGUGGAGAAGAUAACCCUACCUUUGUUCGCAGAUGUUACUGGCUACUUGACAAGUAAGAAAUCAUUAGGCUUGUAGAAUCCUAUGUUGAACACAACAAAGUCUUUUAUGCAUUAAAUACGGUGUUUAUUGGAAUUUUUAUUGAUAGCUAUGUUUGUUGCAGGACGCUGGAACACAUUGUCCUAGUUCAUUAUCGUGAAACUCAGGAGGUUUAUCUUCUGUGCCUUGUGAAGCUCUCUUAUUUAGUUCUUUGAGUAUGUCUAUAGUGUAUUCAUGUCUUUAGUCUGUAUAAAUUUUGUAGAAUAGUGCUGUAGAAAAUUGAGCAUAUUUCUAUGACAUGACGACCUUACUUGACUCUGGCUAUAUGUAAUGAAUUUAUAUACAGUAUAAUUCUAAUUUGCUGAAUUCUUAAAGACUAGAUAUGAAUCAAGAGGACCUGUGUGUUAGACGGAAGUUCCUAGACGUGGUUUUAACUUUCAAAUAUCAAUGGAGAGAAAUUCUACAGUGACAUAUCGCGACAUCAGAAUAACCAAUUGUGCAAUAUGAAGUCACAUGCAUUAACCACAAGUUCAUUCUUAGUGGCUUAAUAAGGUCUCUAGUUAAGAUAAAUUUGAAAGGAAAAAUUGUUAAAAAAUUCAUUUAUGGGCAGCUUCGAAGUCCCGUAUAAGAAUUUUUUAUUUGUGUUAUCUUGUACCGUGUUUCUUUUUACUCGUUUAGAUAUACUGGUACUUUAUCUAUAUGUACUUUAGCAGCCUG